rnacentral:rRNA from 1 species
GGUUUGGUCCCAGCCUUGAAAUCAGUUUUUACUUGACUUACACAUGCAAGUCUCCGCACACCCGUGAAAACGCCCUUCCAACCCCCUAGGGACAAGGAGCUGAUAUCAGGCAUAAUAUUACCCAAAACAUCUAGCCACGCCACACCCAUAAGGGCCCUCAGCAGUGAUUAACAUUAAAAAUAAACGUCAGUUUGACUUAGCCAAACGAAAAUAGAGCCGGCCAAUCUGGUGCCAGCCGCCGCGGUUACACCAUGUGGCUCAAAUUGAUCUCAACACGGCGUAAAGCGUGAUUAAAGAAACAUAACCCUUAGGGUCAAAUUAAAAUUAAGCUGUAGCACGCCUGUUUUUAAGAAGCUCUAUUUCGAAAGAUACCCUAACCUACCAACUUGAAUUCACAACAACUAGAACACAAACUGGGAUUAGAUACCCCACUAUGCCUAGUCAUAAACUUUAACUUACUCUCACAUCGCCGGGGAACUACGAGCAAAGCUUAAAACCCAAAGGACUUGACGGUGCCCCAUAUCCCCCUAGAGGAGCCUGUCCUAUAACCGAUACCCCUCGUUCAACCUCACCACUUUUAGUUUAUCAGCCUGUAUACUUCCGUCGCCAGCUUACCGCAUGAGCGAACUUAGUAAGCUCAAUGUAAUCCACCAAAACG